AGCUUCAGAGCUGAUGGAGAGACAGAGAGCACGCAACUGGAAAAAAUCAGACAUGGAAUUCAUGGAUUAACUGGUCACCAAUUGUUUCAGCAUUGCGUAUUGAAUAAUACAACCUUCUUCCACUGCCGUGAAAUGUCAACAGCUGCUCUCCCACUAGAUAGGGCGUAGCUUUCCACAGGUCGGCCAUUUUCUUUCUAUUCAAGAUGGUUACAUUCCACAAUAGUACUUUUACCUUCUUGCCACAUCAUGCAGCCUGCUAAACCAUUGUGUUUAUAUAUUUUACCUUUCAAGAAUCCUAGCUGUAUACAGUUUAGAACAGUAAUUUUCAAAUAGGGUAUAUAUAUAUAUAUAUAUGAACAUAAUAUAUUUAUUCUUAAGCAAGUAUAUAUCUUAUAUAAAACUUAAAUAUAUAGAACUCAUAUAUACAUAUAUGUAUAUAUUUANNNNNNUUAUAGAUCUUUAUUUGUUUAUUUAUUUAUCUAUUUAUUUUUACAAAUUAGAAGUUGGGAAAUCCAAUGACAUAGAACACUGUUCCAGGUGUUAACUGUUUUUUUUUUUUUUUGAUGAUUCUGACAUUCCAGUUGUGUAUUUAAAAGGAAGUACUGAAGGGGUUAAUGCAAAAUUUUUCUGUUCCUCAAGUAUUCAGAGAGUUAAAGCUGUGUGAAUUUGGUUCCUGGAAUUCUCUAGAGGGAAAUAAGAGGGAAAUGUAAGAAAUGCAUGAGAUGCAGAAAUGUUUUCAAUUAUGUUGCUGGAAGUAAUACGAUCUCGGGAUCUAAAGGAUGGAGGGUAAGUCUCAAUACAUGCUACCACUGUCAUUAUAUCUUCAAGACGUGAAAACAUCGCUGUGGUCCAUCUCUAUUUACUGCAAGCAGAAGGGUCAAGACAGAAAACAUAGAGGCUUUUAGUAGGAGGUAAGUUAAACAGUAACAGAAGUAUUUGACAGUUAAAAAUCACCUGCUGUUCUCUGUUUCACCCUUUACUCCAUCCCAGUUCCAUCCACCCACCCACCCCCUGCCUAUUGACUUCUAACCACAGUCACUGGUCUUUUCUGAUUUUGGACAGAAAAAGAGGGUAAGUAUCAGGUUGCUUUCUUUGCCUGCUGUUAUUGCAAGGGACUCUUUUGGCUCAUAGACACAGCUCCAGUCAUUUCCUGACUUGCCAUAUUAGGCUGUGAUUUGUUUAUGACUGGAGUCUGGUUUCCCUGGCAACAGAAGCUCACCAGGGCAUGCGCAUUGGCUCAUCUGCAGUGGCAGAAUGCGGCUGUGGGGCCUUGGGGAGGGAUCCCCCCCCCCCCGCCUCCACACCCCCGCAGUGACUGGAAGAGGUAUUCUACAGACGUCAGUUUUUCUCUUCUUAAACUGCGACUGUUAACUGCAGAUAAGCAUAGCAUUUUUUUAAAUCCUCACAAUACUUCGAGAUUUCUCCCUUGUUUUCUCUCCUAGCACAGCCACAGUCAAUAGGUUCACCAGUGAUCAUGACGUUUUUCCAGUUAUUAUGGAAAAUAUCCCUAGGGUCCAAAGGGAUCCUUAUAGUGUGGCUAUAGAAAACAAAUGGCCUAGUUUCAAAGCUCCAUCUCUUUCUUGAUAGUUGUAUGAAAUUCUUUAGUCAUCCUGUGUCUCAGCUUCCUCAGCCAUAAAAUAUGAAUAAUAACAGCACAUUUAGAAAAAUGUUACAUAUUAAACAUUAAAAAGUAUUCCUUAUUGUUAUUUGUAGAUGUCAAAAAAUUAUGUGGCACAGACUGGUGCCUGCACUGUACAGCCAAUGCUGAACAAAUUACAGACACAGGCAUUUAACCCUACAGAAUGCAGACACCUCACAUAGCCCACAGAUGACCUACAGCAGAGUGUUGCACUCUCCUGAGGCUCAUUACUAUAUACCAUAGCAAAAGAAUAGCCCCUUAUCACAUGGACACCUUCCAUGACAUUAGGCUCUUUUAGAUUGCACACAAGUUCUCUUCAACACAGAGGCCAAGCUAAAGGACAUUUAUUAGAAACACAUGGUGCAUCUUACCUCACCAUGAAGACAUUGUCUGUAACAAAGAGAAAAUCUCAACACUAUAGCUCAUCUCCACAUCACACGGACUCUAUCCAGAACACACAAAAGUAUAUAGACUUAUUCUGUACAACAUAGAUUCUUCC
ensembl:processed_transcript C230004F18Rik RIKEN cDNA C230004F18 gene